AUUGAACGCUGGCGGAAUGCUUAACACAUGCAAGUCGAGCGGGGUGUAGCAAUACACCUAGCGGCGGACGGGUGAGGAAUACAUAGGAAUCUGCCUCAGAGUGGGGGAUAGCCCGGGGAAACCCGGAUUAAUACCGCAUGAUGUCGUAAGACCAAAGCAGGGGACCGUAAGGCCUUGCACUUUGAGAUGAGCCUAUGUCGGAUUAGCUAGUUGGCGGGGUAAAAGCCCACCAAGGCGACGAUCCGUAGCUGGUCUGAGAGGACGAUCAGCCACACCG
rnacentral:rRNA from 1 species